UACGGGGGGGGCAAGCGUUGUUCGGAAUUACUGGGCGUAAAGGGCUAGUAGGCGGCCGUCUAAGUCGGAUGUGAAAUCCCCAGGCUCAACUUGGGAACUGCAUCCGAUACUGGAUGGCUUGAAUCCGGGAGAGGGAUGCAGAAUUCCAGGUGUAGCGGUGAAAUGCGUAGAUAUCUGGAGGAAUACCGGUGGCGAAGGCGGCAUCCUGGACCGGCAUUGACGCUGAUCAGCGAAAGCCAGGGGAGCAAACGGG
rnacentral:rRNA from 1 species